CGGUACCCUAACCGUGCAAAGGUAACGCAAUCACUUGUUCUUUAAAUAAGGACUAGUAUGAAUGGCAUCACGAGGAUUAUACUGCCUCCCCCACCUAAUCAGUGAAACUGAUCUUCCCAUGAAGAAGCGGGAAUAAAAUCAUAAGACGAGAAGACCCCAUGGAGCUUUAAACUCAACAUCAACUGCCCUCUAAUUAGCUUAUUAACCCCACAGAUCUGACAGUUAGUUUUCGGUUGGGGUAACCGCGGAGUAAAACAAAACCUCCACGAUGAAAGGAAUUAACCUCCUAAUCUAAGAGCUACAGCUCUAAGAAUCAAUAAAUUGACAAAACUUGAUCCAAAUAUUUUGAUCAACGAACCAAGUUACCCGGGAGAUAACAGCGCAAUCCAUUUCAAGAGCUCAUAUCGACAAAUGGGUUUACGACCUCGAUGUUGGAUCAGGGUAUCCCAGUGGCGCAGCCGCUA
rnacentral:rRNA from 1 species